GAUGAACGCUAGCGGCAGGCUUAAUACAUGCAAGUCGAGGGGCAGCAUGAUUGUAGCAAUACAAUUGAUGGCGACCGGCAAACGGGUGCGGAACACGUACACAACCUCCCAAUAAGUGGGGAAUAGCCCAGAGAAAUUUGGAUUAAUACCCCGUAACAUAACGAUGUGGCAUCACAUUGUUAUUAUAGAUUUUUCGCUUAUUGAUGGGUGUGCGGCUGAUUAGAUAGUUGGCGGGGUAACGGCCCACCAAGUCUACGAUCAGUAGCUGAUGUGAGAGCAUGAUCAGCCACACGGGCACUGAGACACGGGCCCGACUCCUACGGGAGGCAGCAGUAAGGAAUAUUGGACAAUGGACGCAAGUCUGAUCCAGCCAUGCCGCGUGAAGGAUUAAGGUCCUCUGGAUUGUAAACUUCUUUUAUAAGGGACGAAAAAAGGUCUUUCUAGAUCGUCUGACGGUACCUUAUGAAUAAGCACCGGCUAACUCCGUGCCAGCAGCCGCCGCGGUAA
rnacentral:rRNA from 1 species